GAAAUGCGAUAAGUAAUGUGAAUUGCAGAAUUCAGUGAAUCAUCGAAUCUUUGAACGCACCUUGCGCUCCUUGGUAUUCCGAGGAGCAUGUCUGUUUGAGUGUCAUUAAAUUCUCAACCUUAUCAGUUUAUUCUGUAUAAGGCUUGGAUGUGGGGGUUUGCAGGUCCACUACCAUGGUCUGCUCCUCUGAAAUGAAUUAGCUGGGUUAAGUUAUGCCCUGUCUAUUGGUGUGAUAAUUAUCUACAUCAUUGACGGGUUAGCUAAUAUAGGCCUGCUUCUAACCGUCCUCUCGGGGACAACACAUUGACAUUUUUGACCUCAAAUCAGAUAAGACUACCCGCUGAACUUAA
rnacentral:misc_RNA from 1 species